rnacentral:rRNA from 1 species
CCACGGCACAUCGAACA